AGAGUUUGAUCCUGGCUCAGAACGAACGCUGGCGGCAGGCUUAACACAUGCAAGUCGAACGUGAAGCAGGAGCUUGCUCCUGUGGAAAGUGGCAGACGGGUGAGUAACGCGUGGGAAUUUACCCAGUGGUUCGGAAUAACUUCAGGAAACCGGAGCUAAUACCGAAUACGCCCUUCGGGGGAAAGAUUUAUCGCCAUUGGAUGAGCCCGCGUCGGAUUAGCUUGUUGGUGAGGUAAAAGCUCACCAAGGCGACGAUCCGUAGCUGGUCUGAGAGGAUGAUCAGCCACACUGGGACUGAGACACGGCCCAGACUCCUACGGGAGGCAGCAGUGGGGAAUAUUGCGCAAUGGAGGAAACUCUGACGCAGCCAUGCCGCGUGAGUGAAGAAGGCCUUAGGGUUGUAAAACUCUUUCGCUAGGGAAGAUAAUGACGGUACCUAGUAAAGAAGCCCCGGCCAACUCCGUGCCAGCAGCCGCGGUAAUACGGAGGGGGCUAGCGUUGUUCGGAAUUACUGGGCGUAAA
rnacentral:rRNA from 1 species